rnacentral:rRNA from 1 species
UACGUAGGGUGCGAGCGUUAAUCGGAAUUACUGGGCGUAAAGCGUGCGCAGGCGGUUUUGUAAGCCUGGUGUGAAAUCCCCGGGCUUAACCUGGGAAUGGCAUUUGGGACUGCAAGGCUGGAGUGCGGCAGAGGAGACUGGAAUUCCUGGUGUAGCAGUGAAAUGCGUAGAUAUCAGGAGGAAUACCGAUGGCGAAGGCAGGUCUCUGGGCUGACACUGACGCUCAUGCACGAAAGCGUGGGGAGCAAACAGG